rnacentral:other from 1 species
UUGGCCCUGCAGUGUUCGCGAGGGGAUUUUUAUCUUCUUGGGUCAAACCUAUUAAAAGGGAUUCCUUCUAUCGGGAUUGAAUGUAAAGCGUGUCAGUGCCGUUUAUCAGGAUUCCUCGAUGCGGAAACCCACUUGAACAUUAACGGUUCAAGAGGAUAUUUCUCCAGACGGCACGUGCGGGGCCUUU